rnacentral:rRNA from 1 species
AUUGAACGCUGGCGGCAGGCCUAACACAUGCAAGUCGAACGGUAACAGGAAGAAGCUUGCUUCUUUGCUGACGAGUGGCGGACGGGUGAGUAAUGUCUGGGAAACUGCCUGAUGGAGGGGGAUAACUACUGGAAACGGUAGCUAAUACCGCAUAACGUCGCAAGACCAAAGAGGGGGACCUUCGGGCCUCUUGCCAUCGGAUGUGCCCAGAUGGGAUUAGCUAGUAGGUGGGGUAACGGCUCACCUAGGCGACGAUCCCUAGCUGGUCUGAGAGGAUGACCAGCCACACUGGAACUGAGACACGGUCCAGACUCCUACGGGAGGCAGCAGUGGGGAAUAUUGCACAAUAGGCGCAAGCCUGAUGCAGCCAUGCCGCGUGUAUGAAGAAGGCCUUCGGGUUGUAAAGUUCUUUCAGCGGGGAGGAAGGGAGUAAAGUUAAUACCUUUGCUCAUUGACGUUACCCGCAGAAGAAGCACCGGCUAACUCCGUG